rnacentral:rRNA from 1 species
GACAGAGGUCUCGAGCGUUAGGCGGAAUCACUGGGCUUAAAGCGUGUGUAGGCGGAGUUCUAAGUACCUUGUGGAAAUCCCACGGCUUAACCGUGGAACUGCUUGGUAUACUGGUUCUCUUGGGCCACUUAGGGGCUACCGGAACAAACGGUGGAGCGGUGAAAUGCGUAGAUAUCGUUUGGAACGCCAAUGGUGAAAACAGGUAGCUGGGAGUGUGCCGGACG